UGAGCAAUCUGCCCUUCUCACCGGAAUAAGCGUUGGAAACGACGUCUAAUGCCGAAUACGACCUCCUUUCGCAUGAUCGGAGGUGGAAAGCUCCGGCGGAGAAGGAUGAGCUCGCGGCCUAUCAGCUAGUUGGUGUGGGUAACGGCCCACCAAGGCGACGACGGGUAGCCGGCCUGAGAGGGUGACCGGCCACACUGGGACUGAGACACGGCCCAGACUCCUACGGGAGGCAGCAGG
rnacentral:rRNA from 1 species